rnacentral:rRNA from 1 species
AUUGAACGCUAGCGGGAUGCCUUACACAUGCAAGUCGAACGGAGUGGCGAACGGGUGAGUAAUGUAUCGGAACGUGCCCAGUAGUGGGGGAUAACUACGCGAAAGCGUAGCUAAUACCGCAUACAAUUGGAGCGGCCGAUAUCGGAUUAGCUAGAUGGUGGGGUAACGGCUAACCAAGGCGACGAUCCGUAGCUGGUUUGAGCGGACGACCAGCACCACGGGGACUGAGACACGGCCCAGACUCGUCCGGGAGGCAGCGGUGGGGAAGUUGGGGCAAUGGGGGCAACCCUGAGCCAGCCAUGCCGCGUGUGCGAUGAAGGCCUUCGGGUUGUAAAGCACUUUUGGCAGGAAGGCGGUACCUGCAGAAUAAGCACCGGCUAACUACGUGCCAGCAGCCGCGGUAAUAC